GUGCUCCCUUCAGUAGCACAUAUACUAAAAUUGGAAAGAUACAAGGAAGAUUAGCAUGGUCCCUUGCGCAAGUUUGAUAUUUCAAGGAAAGCGUAAGUUUUCU
ensembl:snRNA U6 U6 spliceosomal RNA